rnacentral:rRNA from 1 species
CAGUAGCCGCGGUAAUACGUAGGGUGCGAGCGUUAAUCGGAAUUACUGGGCGUAAAGCGUGCGCAGGCGGUUCGUUAAGACAGAUGUGAAAUCCCCGGGCUUAACCUGGGAACUGCAUUUGUGACUGGCGAGCUAGAGUAUGGCAGAGGGGGGUAGAAUUCCACGUGUAGCAGUGAAAUGCGUAGAUAUGUGGAGGAAUACCGAUGGCGAAGGCAGCCCCCUGGGAUAACACUGACGCUCAUGCACGAAAGCGUGGGGAGCAAACAGGAUUAGAUACCCGCGUAGUCCCUGUCUCUUAUAC